AAUCUUUUGACCAAAUUAGGAUCUGGGUUUUAUUUGUCUAUUUGUUUUUUUGUUGCGCUUGAUUCCUAUCUGUUCUUAUCUCAAUUUUCUUGGUGACCCAUCUCGAAAUUCUCCAUCAUUCAUUUGCUUAUAUAGUCUUUAGAGAGAGCGAGCAGGUUAGUUAUAUUUUCCAUAAUGGCUGCGGCUAAAAACAGCACAGGAAAAUCCAAGAAGGGUGUUGAUGAAACUCAGAGAUUGACGAGGCAAGAUUGGGAGCUUGACAGGGGCAAGAAGGAAGCUGACCUUAGCUUACCUGAAAGGCAGCAAUGGAAGCCAGUUUUUGGUGAAGCUUCCAUGGCAGAAAGACCUCCCAAGAAGAUCCGCAGCCCUGAACGCCAAGACCCAAUUCAAUUCUCUGCAUUUUCAGCA
rnacentral:misc_RNA from 1 species